AAACGACCAAGGAUAAGCAACUCAAGCGAAAGAUUGCUUUGGUCGAUCCUGCUGUGUUAUUCUUCUCAAACAUGCUAAAGAAAGGGAUGAUACAAUCAAUCCAACUGUUACCCUCGGUGUGAUUUUUUGAAGGACUAAUCUGAAGAUGCUGGCUAGCUUGCACCGCCAUCAUACAGUCUAGAAGCAAAGGCAAGGAUUACAGGGAAAAUAAAGGCAAUUCGCCAUCCGAAGAAAUGCCAACUAACUCAUUUUUGUACUUCCUCUGUUACAGAGGUUGCUCCUGCAGAGAAUGUUUGAUAGCAUAGGAAAAACAAAGGAAUUCUACAAAGAGGUUUGAGUGGAUGGAAAUUUUCCUCCAAAA